UACAGAGGGUGCAAGCGUUGUUCGGAAUUAUUGGGCGUAAAGCGCGUGUAGGCGGGUCGUUAAGUUGGGGGUGAAAUCCCGAGGCUCAACCUCGGAACUGCCUUCAAAACUGGCGACCUGGAGCAAGAUAGAGGCAAGUGGAAUUGCGAGUGUAGAGGUGAAAUUCGUAGAUAUUCGCAGGAACACCAGUGGCGAAGGCGACUUGCUGGACCAAUACUGACGCUCAUGUGCGAAAGCGUGGGGAGCAAACAGG
rnacentral:rRNA from 1 species